AGUCUGCAAGGUUUUUUACCAUAGACUUGAGCAGAAAUCCUGAAAAGUGAGACCCUUUGGAGUUAGUGUGAAGACAGGAUGUGUCACAAUUCUGUGAUAAAAUGAUUCCAAAAAGAUUCACUUUUUUGGCUCAUGACUCAAGCACAGUCCACCAGAUUUGGGAAGACAUGACAACAGGAGCUUCAGUAGGCUGCUCACACUGGAUCCACGGUGAGGAGGCAGGAUUGCCACCAUAGCCAUCCCAAGCUACCAACACAGCUCACUGCACACAGAGCUGAGAGGAACUGUGUCUGGUUGAGAGCCUAGAGAUUCAGUCUACGCAGAGCUGUCUGAGAGUCUCAGUGAGGCUCAGUGCUUGUUCUGUACCAUGGCACCUGCUCCUAGAAACCUGCUGCGUGUGGCCUAUUUUUCAGUUUGUUUAUUUAUGAGGUCUUUCUUUUUUAAAAUUUUUUCUUUGUAUGGGUUGUAUUUGUACCAUUAUGAUCGAGACUUGAGGCUACACCAUAGAUGGGGAAUCAAGUUAAAAUGUGAAACAGUUUUCAAAACAAAUUAACGGUUGGGGGUUGAACUUCAAAUGCCAAAGCAGGCAUGUGCCUCUGGUCUCCUGGACCAUGGCAAAUGCAAUCACUGUUCCUUGAUAUCCGUUCUUUCAAAGCUUCUCUUUGAUCUGAAUGAACGUGUGUACCAUAUAUAGGGGUUUGCCAUGUUUCAGAAAAAGUAACAUGAAGGUAUGUAUUUCACAAUGUGGUAGCAAGGACCACUUCAUAGAGAAAAAAAUUUUAGCAGGUUUAUUGUAUUUUUGUAAAAAUGGUAAAACAUAGCUGGCACUGUUUUAUAAGAUAAGGUGUCGCUGAAAUUUGAAUUCUGUAGAUUAUUUGUGUUGGAGUAUGAAUAACAGUGUGUAUAGUAAUAAGAUAUAUUUAAAACAUAUAGAUUAUGUACAUGUAAGGUUGCAGUUUCAAAAUCAACAUUAAAAAUAUGUAACUCUUUAGAUUUUAAAACCUUUAAUUUAUUAUGCAGAAACUGUUUUUAUAUCUAAGUAGGUGACAAAUAAAAACCAUCAAAAUGUUGGAUUGUACAUGGAAAAUAGCAAUAUCAAAUUAUUCUGUUAAAAGUAGAUUACUUUAUUGAGCACCUCAUAAACUUUUAUGUCCAACUGGAGAAAUUAAUGAUAUAGUUUAUGUCCAGCGAUGAGGAAAUGUUUGUACAUGACACUUACAUUGAGCCUGCUGUGCAAGCCACAUAGCAUUUCACACUUACCUGGAGAUCAGGGCCACUCCUUUGAUAGUCAGAGUUCUAAUAACAUAAUGCAAACUGGAUGACUGUCUUCUGCAAGGAUGGCACUCUUUCAUGGUUGUCAUGGAUAAGCCAACCAUGAUGCUUCUAGAAGCAAAAAAACUUAUUAUGAUUAUCUAGUGAUAGGUCAGGCUGUUUGGCACUGGGAACUGAUGUAAACAGAAGUCAUGUGGCUUGCUGAGAAAGCCAACAAAGCACAGAACAACAAGGUGGCGUAACCUUCUCUUCAUCUAAUUGACACGUAGAAGAUGUUACUGAAGUUUGAAUGCUUUAAUUGUACAAAAUAAUAGUAUUCAAUGCACCAGGGUCAACAGUGAUGUACUUCAGUCAUAUGUAUAACAUCAUAGGAGAUCUUAUGGAUAAGAUACAUGUAAUAGAAAUAACAUGAUACAGUUAUAUAUAAGCCACAUACACAAGUUACGUCUAUAAAAUCCAUACAACUGCAUGGGCAUCUAAAGCUCGCGAGAUCUUUAUACAUGGAAAGAGUUGAAACCAUGAAAACAGCUGCAGUUACUUUAAUUAAUACCAAUUAUUGUGCUAGCUUUGUAGUAUGAAUGUUACAUUAUUAUAUUCCUCUAAAACUGUGGUUUCUGAAAAGGGUCAGACUAGAAGACACAUUCCAACAUGAGGGACAUUCUAAAAAUUGUCUUAAAAGAAACUAGCUCAAAUUCAGAAAGUGUACUGAAUGAGUUUUUACAGGCAUGUAAUUAAAUUCACAGAUCCAGGGAACCAUGCUCUGAAAAAAAGUCAAAGAAACAAUACCUCAAAAAAGACACCCAUCCCCUCUAUCAGAUGAAGAUCUCAUCUUACAACGUCAGCUGUGAUUUUCACCACAGAGGAAAUGAUUAUGAGUGGAAAUGUUUCAUCUUUUAUAUUUCUUUCCUUCACCGGAAAGCAGAAAUGUUUGAAACUUAAUACCUUAAAUCUUUCCCCUAUUAUUGAAAACCUACUGUGUUCAUAAUUGAAAGGCAGAAAAAGAUGGAGCCAAUAAGUUAGAUUAUCCACAUGACUUCUAUAUAUUUAUUUUAUAUAAGUGUACAAUUUUAACCUUAAUCAGUAAUAAGU